AGUAGGUAGGGUAAUGGCCUACCUAGCCUAUGAUGGAUAGGGGUUCUGAGAGGAAGGUCCCCCACAUUGGAACUGCGACACGGUCCAAACUCCUACGGGAGGCAGCAGUGAGGAAUAUUGGUCAAUGGCCGGAAGGCUGAACCAGCCAAGUAGCGUGCAGGAUGACUGCCUUAUGGGUUGUAAACUGCUUUUUUACGGGAAUAAUUAUGAUCACGUGUGAUUAUUUGCAUGUACCGUAAGAAUAAGGAUCGGCUAACUCCGUGCCAGCAGCCGCGGUAAUACGGAGGAUCCUAGUGUUAUCCGGAUUUAUUGGGUUUAAAGGGAGCGUAGGCGGGAGGUCAAGUCAGCUGUGAAAUGUAUCUGCUUAACGGGUACACUGCAGUUGAAACUGGUUUUCUUGAGUGCGUAAGAGGCAGGCGGAAUUCGUUGUGUAGCGGUGAAAUGCUUAGAUAUGACGAGGAACUCCUAUUGCGAAGGCAGCUUGCUGGGUCGUUACUGACGCUGAUGCUCGAAGGUGCGGGGAUCAAACAGGAUUAGAUACCCUGGUAGUCCGCACAGUAAACUAUGGAUACUCUCUGCCGGCGAUAUAUUGUC
rnacentral:rRNA from 1 species